rnacentral:rRNA from 1 species
CAUAGCGACUAUCGUGGCAUAUCAAUAAGCGGAGGAAAAGAAACUAACAAGGAUUCCCUUAGUAACGGCGAGUGAAGCGGGAAGAGCUCAAAUUUGAAAUCUUCAAGGUUCUACCUUGACGAAUUGUAGUUUAUAGAAGUGUUUUCUGUUAGUAGGAGUGGCAAAAGUUCUUUGGAAUAGGACAUCAUAGAGGGUGAGAAUCCCGUAUUUGGUCAUUCCUCCUAGCGUUGUGAUACACUUUCAACGAGUCGGAUUGUUUGGGAAUGCAGUCCAAAAUGGGUGGUAAAUUUCAUCUAAAGCUAAAUAUUGGCGAGAGACCGAUAGCGAACAAGUACCGUGAGGGAAAGAUGAAAAGAACUUUGAAAAGAGAGUUAAACAGUACGUGAAAUUGUCAAAAGGGAAGCGUUUGACACCAGUGUUGUUUAGUUGAAAAUCAAUUAAAUAUUUUUCGAUUUUAAGUAGUAUUGACCUUAUCAGCUUGCUGCUUUUUUCUCGGAAAUUAUUUAAUGCACUUUUCAGUUAACAAGUCAACAUCAAUUUCUUUUGUUGUAAAAAGGUAAGAGGAAGGUGGCUUGCGCUUCGGCUCAAGUGUUUAUAGCCUUUUACCCCUGCAAUCGGAGAGAUUGAGGUCUGCAGCGUAGAUCCUUCGGGGUUAGAUACGUUUGUGCUAAGUUAUAGCUUUUCAUAGACAACUUGUUGACUAUGUUUAGUCUUGUAGCUUACUCGCUGACGCUAUUUUACCUACGCUUAGGAUGUUGAUAGUCACAGCGUGUAC